rnacentral:tRNA from 1 species
GCCUUCGUGGUGUAGUGGUCAGCACGCUCGAUGCGAAUUCGAGAGGUCCGUGGUUCAAGUCCCGGCGAGGGCA